GAUGAACGCUGGCGGAGUGCUUAACACAUGCAAGUCGAACGGUGAAGCAGGAGCUUGCUCUUGUGGAUCAGUGGCGAACGGGUGAGUAACACGUGAGCAACCUGCCCCUGACUCUGGGAUAAGCGCUGGAAACGGCGUCUAAUACUGGAUACGAACCGGAACCGCAUGGUUACGGGGUGGAAAGAUUUUUUGGUUGGGGAUGGGCUCGCGGCCUAUCAGCUUGUUGGUGAGGUAAUGGCUCACCAAGGCGUCGACGGGUAGCCGGCCUGAGAGGGUGACCGGCCACACUGGGACUGAGACACGGCCCAGACUCCUACGGGAGGCAGCAGUGGGGAAUAUUGCACAAUGGGCGGAAGCCUGAUGCAGCAACGCCGCGUGAGGGAUGACGGCCUUCGGGUUGUAAACCUCUUUUAGCAGGGAAGAAGCGAAAGUGACGGUACCUGCAGAAAAAGCGCCGGCUAACUACGUGCCAGCAGCCGCCGUAAUAC
rnacentral:rRNA from 1 species